rnacentral:rRNA from 1 species
AAAUUAGAGUGUUCAAAGCAGGCUGCUGACGCCUGAACGGUGGUGCAUGGAAUAAUGGAAUAGGAUCUCGGUUCUAUUUUGUUGGCUUUCGGAAACCCCGAGAUAAUGAUUAAGCGGGACAGACGGGGGCAUUCGUACUACGGAGCCAGAGGUGAAAUUCUUAGACCUCCGUAAGACGAACUACUGCGAAAGCAUCUGCCAAGGAUGUUUUCAUUAAUCAAGAGCGAAAGUCAGAGGUUCGAAGACGAUCAGAUACCGUCCUAGUUCUGACCAUAAACGAUGUCGACUAGCGGUGCGCCGGCGUCGUAUCACUUGACCCGGCGUGCAGCUGCUCUCGGGAAACCAAAGUCUUUGGAUUCCGGGGGAAGUAUGGUUGCAAAGCUGAAACUUAAAGGAAUUGACGGAAGGGCACCACCAGAUGUGGAGCCUGCGGCUUAAUUUGACUCAACGCGGGGAACCUUACCAGGUCCGGACAUUUGCAAGGAUUGACAGUCUGAUAGCUCUUUCUUGAUUCAAUGGGUGGUGGUGCAUGGCCGUUCUUAGUUCGUGGAGCGAUCUGUCUGGUUAAUUCCGAUAACGAACGAGACUCCGACCUACUAAUCAAGCUAGCCGGCCCUACUCGAGCCGGUGCAGCACUUAUAGCUUCUUAGAGGAACCGGCGGCGUCUAGUCGCACCAAGAGGAGCAAUAACAGGUCUGUGAUGCCCUUAGAUGUCCUGGACUGCACGCGCGCUACAAUGAAGCAAUCAGCGGGACACUCGCCUAGCCCGAGAGGGCCGGGUAAACCGAUGAACCUGCUUCGUGGUUGGGACUGACGCGUGCAAUUCUCGUCACGAACGAGGAAUAUCCAGUAAGCGCGGGUCAGCAGCCGGCGUUGAUUACGUCCCUGCCCUUUGUACACACCGCCCGUCGCUACUACCGAUUGAGUGGCUCAGUGAGGCUCUCGGAUCGGCGUCGGCCUGCUGCGUGGCGCGAGCUCGGCGCUUCGCGCGUCGAGUCUUCGUUGCUGCCAGAGGGCCAGCGACGCUGAAAAGAAAGCCGAACUGAGUCGCUUAGAGGAAGUAAAAGUCGUAACAAGGUUUCCGUAGGUGAACCUG